rnacentral:rRNA from 1 species
CUGACACAGGGAGGUAGUGACAAUAAAUAACAAUGCCGGGCCUUUGUAGGUCUGGCAAUUGGAAUGAGAACAAUUUAAAUCCCUUAUCGAGGAUCAAUUGGAGGGCAAGUCUGGUGCCAGCAGCCGCGGUAAUUCCAGCUCCAAUAGCGUAUAUUAAAGUUGUUGCAGUUAAAAAGCUCGUAGUUGGAUUUGUGGUGUAUGCGUUUGGCCGCUUCCUUUUGGAGGUGUGCUGUGACGCGUCGCCAUCUUUGGGUGGAAUCUGCGUGGCAUUAGGUUGUCGUGCAGGGGAUGCCCAUCGUUUACUGUGAAAAAUUAGAGUGUUCAAAGCAGGCUUAUGCCGUUGAAUAUGUUAGCAUGGAAUAAUGAGAUAGGACUUUUGAGUCUAUUUUGUUGGUUUGCGAGUCAAAGUAAUGAUUAAUAGGGACAGUUGGGGGUAUUCGUAUUUCAUUGUCAGAGGUGAAAUUCUUGGAUUUCUGAAAGACGAACUACUGC